AGUGAACGCUGGCGGUAGGCCUAACACAUGCAAGUCGAACGGCAGCACAGUAAGAGCUUGCUCUUACGGGUGGCGAGUGGCGGACGGGUGAGGAAUACAUCGGAAUCUACUUUUUCGUGGGGGAUAACGUAGGGAAACUUACGCUAAUACCGCAUACGACCUACGGGUGAAAGCAGGGGAUCUUCGGACCUUGCGCGAUUGAAUGAGCCGAUGUCGGAUUAGCUAGUUGGCGGGGUAAAGGCCCACCAAGGCGACGAUCCGUAGCUGGUCUGAGAGGAUGACCAGCCACACGGGAACUGAGACACGGUCCAGACUCCUACGGGAGGCAGCAGUGGGGAAUAUUGGACAAUGGGCGAAAGCCUGAUCCAGCCAUCCCGGGUGGGUGAAGAAGGCCUUCGGUUUUUAAAGCCUUUUUUUUGGGAAAGAAAAGCAGCAGGUUAAUACCCCGCUGUUCCGACGGUACCAAAAGAAUAAGCACCGGCUAACUUCGUG
rnacentral:rRNA from 1 species